GUUAGUUUAUAGGCUUGCAGGUUAAAUCAUGGGUUAGUUUAUAGGUUUUUAGGUUAAAUCAUGGGUUAGUUUAUAGGUUUGCAGGUUAAAUCAUGGGUUAGUUUAUAGGUUUGUAGGUUAGAUCAUAGGUUAGUUUAUAGGUUUGCAGGUUAAAUCAUAGGUUACUUUAUAGGUUUGCAGGUUAAAUCAUAGGUUAGUUUAUAGGUUUGUAGGUUAAAUCAUAGGUUAGUUUAUAGGUUUGUAGGUUAGAUCAUAGGUUAAUUUAUAGGUUUGUAGGUUAGAUCAUAGGUUAGUUUAUAGGUUUGCUGUUUAAAUCAUAGGUUAGUUUAUAGGUUUGUAGGUUAGAUCAUAGGUUAAUUUAUAGGUUUGUAGGUUAGAUCAUAGGUUAGUUUAUAGGUUUGCAGGUUAAAUCAUAGGUUAGUUUAUAUGUUUGCAGGUUAAAUCAUGGGUUAGUUUAUAGCUUUGCAGGUUAAAUCAUGGGUUAGUUUAUAGGUUUGUAGGUUAAAUCAUAGGUUAGUUUAUAGGUUUGCAGGUUAAAUCAUGGGUUAGUUUAUAGGCUUGCAGGUUAAAUCAUGGGUUAGUUUAUAGGUUUGCAGGUUAAAUCAUAGGUUAGUUUAUAGGUUUGUAGGUUAGAUCAUAGGUUAGUUUAUAGGUUUGUAGGUUAGAUCAUAGGUUAGUUUAUAGGUUUGCAGGUUAAAUCAUAGGUUAGUUUAUAGGUUUUUAGGUUAAAUCAUAGGUUAGUUUAUAGGUUUGCAGGUUAAAUCAUAGGUUAGUUUAUAGGAUUGCAGGUUAAAUCAUAGGUUAGUUUAUAUGUUUGUAGGUUAGAUCAUAGGUUAGUUCAGAGCCGGCUCUUGGCAUUGGCGAACUAGGCGGUCGCCUAGAGCGCCAUCUGCUGGAGGGGGCGCCGAACUGCAGAAGAAAAAAAAGUAAUUAUUUGUAAUCCCUGAUUGUAACUUUGCUCAGCACCACUUUCAAUUAGCUUUGUCUUAAAAAAACUAUAAUGAAGUAUUACAGGA